UUGAACGCUGGCGGAAUGCUUUACACAUGCAAGUCGAGCGGCAGCGCGGGGUAACCUGGCGGCGAGCGGCGGACGGGUGAGUAAUACAUCGGAACGUGCCCAGAUGUGGGGGAUAGCCCGGCGAAAGCCGGAUUAAUACCGCAUGUGAUCUGUGGAUGAAAGCGGGGGACCUUCGGGCCUCGCGCAUUUGGAGCGGCCGAUGGCAGAUUAGGUAGUUGGUGGGGUAAAGGCUUACCAAGCCUACGAUCUGUAGCUGGUCUGAGAGGACGACCAGCCACACUGGGACUGAGACACGGCCCAGACUCCUACGGGAGGCAGCAGUGGGGAAUUUUGGACAAUGGGCGAAAGCCUGAUCCAGCCAUUCCGCGUGCAGGAUGAAGGCCCUCGGGUUGUAAACUGCUUUUGUACGGAACGAAAAGGUUUCCUCUAAUACAGGGAGCUCAUGACGGUACCGUAAGAAUAAGCACCGGCUAACUACGU
rnacentral:rRNA from 1 species